rnacentral:lncRNA from 1 species
AUCUGCUUAGGUUGUUCUCAUUGGCUUCUAGUCUUGUUUAAACGUUCACAAGUUAUUUGAUCGUAUCGGCAAGUUCGACCUUGCAUGCUUUUAUCGCUUUAUCUAUACUAGGUCCGAUAGAUCUUUACCCCUUCCCCUUGUAUUGCUAGCAGUUGGAUCCAUAACGUUAGAACGAUACUGUUGAGAGCUGAUGCAUUGAUUUAGUAUCAUCCAUAUCUCAUAGAAUGUAUCAUGGUUAAUGGCAAUUUAAUGAAAUUAUAAAGGAUAAUAACAAUCGUGCUUUCGGCGUUCCAAAAAUCAAUCAAGAAUUCAUCAUGGUUGUGCAGUGUAUGGAAACCUUAUGGUAAUAGUUAGAUGGGAAAUGUUGUAUUAUGUAAUAAAUCCAGGUACUUCACAAAUCAUGAUCGAUGGAUGUCUAACACUGUUGAAAGAGAUUGGAAUAAAGCAGACUCACCUCAGACUAUGCACCAUGUCUGAGUGACCCACCUCACCUUGCCAGGUCACUGGUCUUGCCAGCACACAAGCUAUGAUGUUGCCAGGAGUGGUCAGUACACAAAUCUAGCUACCAGUCGGAUCGAAGGGCAGGCAUUUGCAUUGUGGUUGUGCUUGAACAUGGAGAUGUCUUGCGAUUGUCACGCACCAUACAUCCUCUCUCAGUUUCACUCCGCCUCACACACGGAUAGGACACCAGGGACCCGACACCAUGCAUGCCGAUUUCAUAUUAUUAAUAUUUAUUUUUUGAAUGGUUGUUGAAACUAUAUAUAUAGUUAGUCCAAUCUCACGUUUCCGAUUAUAAAAAUUAACAUAAAGAGAUCGGAAGGGAGAGCACUAGAGCCGGCAUUUAUACAAACUGGUAUGAAUAGUAAAAUCUAGAAUUUAUAAAUAAAAAAUUGAUUUGCACAUCUAUGCAAUAAUUAGUGGUUAGUGGUAGGUCUAGAGAGAUAUCUCAUCAAAUCGAUGAGUUAUAUCCGGUUUAAACGAGGAUAAAAAUGAGUGUAGUCUUUUCGCAGCUGUACCGCCUUUCCUUUCAUGUGUUCUAUUGUUCCCCUAACACCAAGUCUCCAAGACUCAAGAAAAUAAGGAAAGUGAUAGCAGCCUAGAAAUCGACCAAGUUUCUUUCCCCCUUUGGCUUUUCUACUAGGAUUCGAAAUCCUCUUUCGCAUGACAAUCUUAAUUAUCUCCCAUAGUUCAAAACUCACAAAACUAUCAAAAAUCCACCGAGAAUAAAUUAUGUAAAAACAUGCACACACAGAUAAUAAUAAUAAUAAUCAUGUUUCAAUAAAAUUGCUAAGGCCAGAGACAAUACAUAAACAUAUUAGACUAUUCAUGACACAUAUCACGGUGGACAGUGUCUGUAUCCUUAUUACAAGCAGCGAGAGAUGCUUGUCACCACACACACGCGUGCACAGAUGCACGACAUACAUAUAGUUGAGACCAACAAAUGGUUGCCCCAUAUGGUGAACAAUUUAUUGGAGAUAAACAUUAACAUAACUUGGCCAUAGCUUGAAGCAUAGCAACAUAUGCCUAUGAAUGGCAUUCAUACUGGUAGCAAUGCAAUCAUAUCGUUUUAGGCUUGUCCAGCUUCUUCCAUCUUAGCAAGCGCUCCCAUUUCUUCCAUCUUAGCAACAACUGUCAAAUUGAGAUAUGAAAAUCCCAUUAGCACAUGAGUUAAUUUUGCACUGGAAAUAGAGUACAAGAUGUCUUCAUGAUGUAAGUAACAUGCCUGAAGUUGUGAGAUGGGAAGUGAAGUCAACAAAUUACAUUAAUGGAAAUGCAUGGAAGGCCACGCAUGCAUACGUAUUAGUCCACGAUAUGCUACAAAGCCUUGUAUGUACAUAUAACAAAUUAAAUGCAUUGAAUAGAGUGAGUUUACUGAAUUUACCAGAAUCGGACAGAACACAUGGGAAACAGCAAGUGUUCUUGCAGAGUGAGUCGGAGCCACCUGCAGUAAUACAAGCAAAACAACAUGCUUUUGCCCGGGCGGAUACGCAGCAGCUGCACUGUGCCGCGGUGGCCGGGUUAACAUCGAGGCUCAAGAUGACCAGGCACAUGAUCACCAUCAAAGCGGUAGUCCUCUUUCCCUCCAUUGCCUCCUCUUGCUGCUACCUUCCUUGGUUACCUAGCUAAGUUUAUUGGUUUUGUGUUGAGAGGUGAUUCUUGAAUGGAUGUUGCCGGCUGCAAUUUAUAGGCAGCUGCGCUAUGUGAUGAUAUGGACAAGGUGCAAAUGGGUGGUCCAAUGGCAAGGAAAGGGGGUAUUCUGCUUGACAUUGGCAUCAGACAAAGCCCAAUGGCAACUGCUGACACGCGAUUAAAAUCAGAUCCACAUCUUAUCCAGCCAUUCACUAAUAAUUAAACUAAACCCACGCGGUCCGCGAGAUGCAGCGUCCAUGCAUACACUUCCCGCCAAACAAUAGGAAAAAUUAGAAUUCAGAGAUAGUAGUGUGCCAGCAGCUGCUUGCAUGAAACACGGCAAUCAGUGGUGCUUGGACGGCAAGUAGUGUGGUGUACAAGCUUAAAGCGGCAGUGAGUCACGUUGGUGUAACAAGCAGUACAUCAGCUGGAAGAUUGAUAUGUCUAUUGCCCACGCAGCAUAGCAUUUUAUUAUGAUACAUUGAGUUAUGUCAUAUUGUUACUUUAAGUUAUUUUUUAAGUAUUAGUUGUAGACAAUUUAGUUGCAAAUUUAAGCGGUUAUUUUAAAUUAUUUUUUAUAAUGGAAUAAGUGGGUAAUUUAGAUGAAGAUUAGGGGGUUACUUGUAGCACUACAUGAAGGCGCUGAGGUGGGNNNNNNNNNNNNNNNNNNNNNNNNNNNNNNNNNNNNNNNNNNNNNNNNNNNNNNNNNNNNNNNNNNNNNNNNNNNNNNNNNNNNNNNNNNNNNNNNNNNNUCUUAUGGAUAGGUGGGUAAUUUUUUUAGAAAAUAUAAUAGAUCCAAUGGCUACGAUGAUUUGAGUCUAAUGAUUGAUGGCAAGAUGUUUUUCUUGUUUGUGGGAAUUUUAAAUAUUUCUCUUUUUUUUAGAGUGUCCACCUAGAAUGCUAGGUGGUUUCACUUGGAGACUUCAAAAGGAGCUUCCAAAUUAGUAAUAGUAAGAUUUUCUCAAAAGAGACUUGAUUCUACCACUAUAACUUGAUUGGCCGCCCCGGCCUCUACCUUUGCCUCCAUUUGACUAUUUGAGUUGGCUGUCAACGAUUCACGGUGCUGGCAACAUUACGUUUGAUCCAAAUGCCACUACUCAUGUGCGCCAGCUGUAUUCUACCAAGUGGCAUGUGGGAAUGCCAUGAUGCAUGUGCAGUAACAGCGUGCACAUCUUGUAGGAUUCGCACCUCGUUUUCACUAUUGUAUCAUCUUAGCGAUUAGGAGCGAAAUGUGCUUGGGGGUUGCAAUUGGGAUAUAGACCUUAUUCUCGAAGAGAAUCUUAAAAGCUUACAUUCGCCCCCUCGGUCGCCUGUGUUCCGAUCCUUCACCUAUAAAUUAGGAGUAGCAGGUAGUAAGUGGCAGGUUAGAUAAGUACUCGUUGAUGAAUGUUGACUUGGCGUGAUUGGCUCUGCUAUUUUCACGAAGAUGCCAAUAUUGAAAGCACAUCCACCAUUUCUGCGGAUGUGAGGGAUGAACUAAUUAAUUGUUUCUUGUCCAUUAUUGCACCGUACCUCCCAUUUUCCCGUUUUCCAAACAAUUAAAGGUACCCUUACGUUACGCUUGAUCCAAAUGCCACCACUCAUGUGCGCAAGUGGCAUGUGGUAAUGCCAUGAUGCAAGUGCAGUAACAGCGUGUACAUCUUGCAUGAUUCGCGCCUCGUUUUCACUAUUGUAAUCUAUAAAGAAACAAACAAAAAACAAAAUGAUGGAUGGAUCAGCUCGGGAUCCAAUAAUCGAGAGGAAUUCAAGGAAAAAGAAAAAUUUGGGAUCACGUGUGCGGAUCCUAAUAACAAUAUAUAGUAGGACAUCUCCAUGCUCACCUAGUAGCCACUACUAGUGCGCCGGCCCAGUUGGCGCUAAGACAUCGUACGUGCAUUAAGGGGGUGUUUGAUACUGGAUGCUAAACUUUAGCAGUGUCACAUCGGAUGUUCGGAUGCUAAUUAGGAGGACUAAACAUGAGCUAAUUAUAAAACUAAUUGCAGAACCCCUGUGCUACUUCGCGAGAUGAAUCUAUUAAGGCUAAUUCAUCCAUCAUUAUCAAAUGGUUACUGUAGCACCACAUUAUCAAAUUAUGGACUAAUUAGGCUUAAUAGAUUCAUCUCGCGAAUUAAACUCCAUUUGUGCAAUUAGUUUUGUAAUUAGUCUAUGUUUAAUACUUCUAAUUAGCAUCCAAACAUCCGAUGUGACAGGUGCUAAACUUUAACAGUGGGGAUCCAAACGGGGCCUAAGUCUGUGGUGCCCAACGAUCUCUUUCUUCUAACUCAUGCUUGACUGUGACGGUGCUAUUAUAUAUUAUUGCAUGAUCAUCAGGAUAAGAUCGUAUAGUGACUGAGUGAGACAUGUAUGUACUAACUUGCAUUUAUCCAAGAAGAGGCACAUGAGUAGUGGUGCAUGCAUCCACACCUUGGGAUGCUGCAAACUUUUAUGGGUCCAUAUGUAUAGCCAAGUAAACUAUUUUAUCCUGCUGCAAGCUGCAGACAUAAGUUUAUUUAACCUUUGUUCACAAUCACUUCCACUGUCGUCGCAAUUGCCAAAGACAAGCUCACCAAUGCUAUUGCGGAGCAGGCCAAUUUCCUGUGGAACUUCGGCGACGACCUGAAGGACAUGAACUCGGUGCUGGAGUCCAUCUCAGCAGCGCUCCAGGACGCUGACACCGGUAGAAAAACGACAUUCCAUCCUCAACAAAAAUCAUGGCAUCCUCUACUCAGUCAGAUGUACUGUGUAGGUGAGAUGGUAAGGAAGCUAUGCGCGAGGCUUAAGGUCGUGAGUUCGAAUCCCAUGCACCACGCACGCACGCGCAUAUUUCACGUGACUUGUGAUCCGCCAAGGAGAAAUGGGUGCAGCUGUUGCUUAAGUGCCUGAGGCACACUGCCAUAGACAUCUCGGAUUUGCUCGAAGAGUACCAAGAAACUAGGAACCCUUAACAGCAAAGGUGAGUACUUAUGUAUGUCAGCAUCUAUGUUGUCCAUGCUUCCAAUGCAAUAACACGAAGGACUACUCUUUCUAGCGGACUCUUCACAAUCACUCGUAAAGGUAUGCGUUUCUCAAUGCAAUUUCAUAGAAGGCAAUCGAUCCAACCAAGCGACUAAAUCAUUCGUCCUUGCCAAUGAUGUGCAUCAGGUUUUCUAUAUGAAGGGCAUGUCUAGCAAACCCAAGAUUUCAGAACAAAAGAAAAAUCAUGUGAGCCAAAGCGCCACAUUGUUCUUCCAAGUAAAAAACAUCAUGGGAGUCGAGAACAAAUCAGACCAAUCAAGGGAUUAUGGUCAGCUUGAUGGCAUGCCUCCAUUCGAUGUCGAAGUUGACCCAAGCAUCAUGUUAGCCAAAGAUCAAAUGUUCGUGCGUUGCUAUGGUAAAUAUCAAUUGUGUUUUUUAAACUCAUGGAUUUUUUUAUCUAAGUUUUUAUUACACUUAUUGGAUGUCUACACAUUUGCUAGAAAACCAAAAUAAUUUUGACUUAAUUAUUUCUUUCAACUCAAAUACUCAUUAAAUUUCUACGUUUUUAUUUAAGCAAGAGAGUUGCUACAAAAAAAUGGAUACGUAACCAUAUUGUAUCAUACAAAGCAACCACAUUUCACAUAUAGUCCGGCUUUGCAAACACCAUUGUUAUCUGAACAUAGCAUACAUGAGUUAGUAGACAUGGAUAUAUUUCUAAUUGCAAGUAGCAUACAACCAGCCUGCACCGACGCAGCUCAAUAUGCGAUAAUUUUUAUCUUCCCAUGUAAUUUUUCUACUCUAGUACAUAUUGAACUCCACAUAAAUGUGAUCUUUCACGCCACAGACGGUUCCUAAAGUUUGGAAACUAAAUAGAUAGCCAGAAAUUUUUUAGAAAGUAUUUAUAUGGAUACAUGUAUGUUCUUCGCAAACUAACAGUAUUGUUUACCAAUAUCAAAAGGAAUAUGGCUAGGAUCAUUGCCGCAUAUGGCAGGUGAUGGUAAAGUUAUCAACUGCAAAGUAUUAGGCCUCGUUGAGCUCUACAAUUUUGAUAUAAAGUUUCUAUUCAUCCGAGAUCAAAUGAAAAAGUUGGUACUCAAAACAUUCAUCCAUUAAUCUAGUCGUGCUAAUACUUAGCACUAAAUGAAAAACUAGCAUGUGUUGUGUGUUUGUGACCCUAAAUGAUCACAAAUGAAUAACUUAUGGGCGUUGCUAGCGCCCGGACGUAUGGUUCGGGGUGCUAGCAUCGGACGCACGAGCAGCCGUCCGAUCAGGUCCGACACCACUUCAGGAUCUGGCUCAAAAAAAAGUCCCACCGAAACAUUGUUCCAUGUUGCAUAAAAUAUCCCACUAUCCAUUGCUGGGUCUAGAGCAAGCACCAGCUUCCAAUAUGCUGCUCACCCAAGCUAAAUAGGGGCAUUAAAAUUGCAGAAAUAUGUCGCAUAUCCUUCUCAAAUUAAACUAAAUCACAACAUCCGAAAAUUUCUUACACAAAACCAUGAAACAUAUCGAUUAGAUAGGUGUAACAAGAUGAAAUAUGGUAUGCAACAUAUAGAUUCUGAAAAACAGAUGAAACAUUACUUAAUGAUUGUUGAAACAGUGGAGAAAAAUAGAUGUAACAUCUAAAAUUAAGAAAAGAAGCUUCAUGCAAAUUGCAAAAAGCUGAAAUAAGUGGUUGAAACAUUUCAAAUCACCAAAUGCCACAUUUGAAAUGACUAGAUGAAACAUCACAAAAUCAAUUGCAACAGUUGAAGAUGAAAACAUUCAAAUGCCUUGCCUUUCUCUAGAUUUGACCCUCAAGCAUGAGUCCAGCCAUUUGCACAUUAGACCCUUGGGAGGAGCUCACCGGAGAACAACAAGACCUUGUUCUCCAACAAUUUUCCGAUCAAAUUGCAACAUAAAAAAUAAAGCAUUGCAACAUCUGGCGGUAUCAUGAGCUACAACAUCAACCAGUUAGGAUCAGGAGAAAGACGGCAAACACAAGCCUAGCAAUGAGUUAUAUCCGGUUUAAACGAGGAUAAAAAUGAGUGUAUUUUCCACUCAUCAUGUUGUCUUUUCGCAGCUGUACCGCCUUUAGCUUGUUGUAUUGUUCCCCUAACACCAAGUCUCCGAGGUCCGUGAAAAUAAGGAAAGUGAUAGCAGCCCAGAAAUCGACCAAGUUUCUUUCCCCCUUUGGCUUUCCUACUAGGAUUCGGAAUCCUCUUUCGCAUGACAAUAUUAAUUAUCUCCCGUAGUCCAAAACUCACAAAAACAUUAAACAUCCUCCGAGAAUAAAUUAAGUAAAAAACAUGCACACACCAAUAAUAAUAAUAAUCUUGUUUCAAUAAAAUUGCUAAGGCCAGAGACAAUACAAAAACAUAUUAGACUGUUCAUGAAACAUAUCACGGUGGACAGUGUUUGUGUCCUUAUUACAAGCAGCGAGAGGAAUUAUAUAUGCUUGUCACCACACACGCGCGCGCACAGAUGCACGACAUACAUAUAGUUGAGACCAACAGAUGGAUCGACUAGAGGUGACCCCAUAUGGUGAACAAUUUAUUGGAGAUAAACAUUAACAUAACUUGGCCAUAGCUUGAAGCAUAGCAACAUAUGCGUAUGAAUGGCAUUGAUGCUAUCGUUUUAGGCUUGUCCAGAUAAUAAUAUCUGGUUUUAAGCAUAACAUGGUUUUUACUUAAUUUAUCUGUGCGUGCGAUAAUAAACCAGAUAAUAGCUUGAAACAUGUUGUGCAUUGGCACCACACGCACGAGAAUAAAUUAAGUAAAAAACAUGCACACAUAGAUAAUAAUAAUAAUCAAGUUUCAGUAAAAUUGCUAAGGCCAGAGACAAUACAUAAACAUAUUAGACUAUUCAUGACACAUAUCACGGUGGUCAGUGUCUGUGUCCUUGUUACAAGCAGCGAGAGAUGCUUGUCACCACACGCACGCGUGCACAGAUGCACAACAUACAUAUAGUUGAGGCUGCAAUUUAUAGGCAGCUGCGCUAUGUGAUGAUAUGGACAAGGUGCAAAUGGGUGGUCCUGAUAUGGAUAAGGUGCGAAUGGCUGUCUACUUGUAUUGUGUAGCUCCAAUGUACGUAUGUAUCUUAUACAUGUAUACAGUUGAUGGAUAAGGUAUACAGUCUUUGUUACCAAGUAAUUUUACUUUCGCACGUUUCAGCCGAGAGGCAGAAGAGAAUAUUUUACAGAGAGGGCAGAGAAGGAGGUUGGUAGGGUUCCCCGUGUCGCCAAGAUUUUUGCAUUUUACAUGUGUGUAUAGAUCACUUCGUCGUGCGGCGCCCUACUCCAGGUUGUACCCCAGCAGACCACGUUCUGUUUCUCUGCCUCCACAAGGACCACAAGACUUAGUAAAAAAAGCUAAACUUUGCAACACGAUGUAUACAGAAUUAGUAGCUAGAUCUAUAUAUGAAAUUCAUCCUAAAACUGAUAGGUGGAGAGAAGUAAAAAAUACCAAUUUGAUUUCCUAUCUGAUUAGAGGAAAUAUGGAUGGAUCGGUCGCAAUUAGCGAAGUGGCUCCAAUUGACAUAAAAGGUGUGCAUUGCAUUCAGCAAGAAAAAUUGAGUUUCUACUGAAUCUAUGAAAAAAAAUGAGCUUACGUUAUCAUAUAUAGGCAUAAAUUAAAAUGACAAGAAAUUCCAACCACGGUAUAUAAGACCAAUAAUUGGAAAGAUGGAUGAAAGGAAGAUAGGGUUUAAAUUAAAGUCUCCGCAUAGGCAGUUUGACUAUGAUCAAUUUUACCUGUAUUUCUCAAUAUGUAGAUAAUUCUAUGCCAACAAUUAAAAACUAAUACAUAAUUUGACACGGUGUACCUUGAGAACGUUUUGAAAAUGUACUCUCGUUAGGCGUUCACCUCCUUAACAAUAACUGCGACUGUAAAAUAGGUACAUCGACGCUAGCUAAAUAAACAACUAUAAGAUUUAGCAAGAGAUCAUUUUAUACAAUCCUGUAACGAAAGAAUUUGACAAUUAUAUUGUCCAUAUAUUUUGACGAAAAACAUCUAAAUUAUAUAAGGUGGGCCCGAAACAGUUGGAUUAGCAUAUGGUUACCCGUUUGUUGUCUUCCGGCCCUAAAAAAAGGACCAUCUUACUGAAAAAGGUUCUAUUAGCACAAGUAGAGAACUGACUUUCGAUGCACCCCCUUUUAUCCCGGUUUAAAGUAGGCCCGGGAGAAAAGGGGGUGCGCCAUGGUAGGCAAAAAUGGAGGGGAGAUUUACUCCCGGUUGGUAUUUGCAACCGGGACUAAAGGCCACCCUUUUGUCCCGGUUGGUGUUACCAACCGGGAUAAAUAGUUUACUCCCAGUUGGAGGUUCCAACCGGGACAAAAGGGCCACCAUUUUGUCGGCCCUUUUGUCCCGGUUGGAGCCUCAAACCGGGAGUAAACUUUCAACCGGGACAAAAGGUGUUUCUUUUUGUGUCGGUUGGAGUUUCUAACCGGGAUAAAAACUCAUCCCCAUUAUAUACCAAGACAGAGGUCUUUCUUCCUCCUCCAGCCCGAGCCAGUCCACCAUAAAGACAGAGAGCUCAGCUUCACCUACUCUCCGGUGGUGCCGAAGCAAGGGAGGUGCUGCCCGAAUUUUUUUUCCCUCAUUUUCGUGGGAAUUUCACUCAGCCAACACAAGUGUUGUGAAGGUUUGCUACUUCAUCCUCGUGUUACGCUUUAAUUUAUGCUUUGGAGAUGGAAAGUUUAUUUGCUAGAAUGUGAUGAAGUAGAAAAUGGAGAGGUACUUUGAGCUAGAAUGUGAGGGAGAUUGAUGUGUCAUAUAUAGUAUGUAUUCUUGCAGUGAUUUAAGAAUGAUGCUACCUUGUCUAGAUGGUUUAUCUUAUCAAAUUCAAUGUGGUUUUUCAAAUUCAUACUUAUUGAACUUGCAUACCGUGUUCAUGUCGGCGAGAAUGUUCUCCGCCGAGCAGCAACGUAUGUCAAGAAGGAGGUUUGAUUCUACGAGAAAGAGUGGAUACGGACAUCGUGACCGUAUCCCCUUUUUCGUAGAAUCGAACCUCUUUCAUGACGAAGUGCGGUGCCGCCCAGUUGAGAACAUGCUCGCCAGAUGAUCACGGUCUUCAAGUUCAACAAGUUCUGUAGGCAUACCGUGGUCAUCUCGGUAAGCAUGUUCUCCGUGGAGCAGCAACGGACGUCAAGGAGGAGGUUCGAUUUUACGAGAAAGAGAGGCAACAGACAUUGUGGAUGACUGUGUCCCCUUUCUCAUAAAAUCGAACCUCUUCCAUGACGAAGUACGGUGCCGCUCAGUUGAGAACAUGCUCACCGAGAUGAUCACGGUCUUCAAGUUCAACAAGUUCUGCAGUGCUAAGGUAAGAAUUUUUGUACAUAGAUGGCUUCUGCUACUAGAGGAAGUGGCGAUGGUGGGGGCGAUCGUCGUUCCUCUUUCGGCAAGGGGAAAAUCAUAGUUGGCCCUCAGGAUAAGCCGAAGAAAAUGAGCGCGUUGGAGAAAGCAAUGCUUCGUUAUUUGCAGAAACGUCAUGAAGAAGCUGUUGCCGCGGGUCAGGAACCUCCUUUUGGUGGUCGUUAUGCUCCACCCUCAGUCCCAGGUGUUUCACGUCCACUUAGUACUACCAUUUCAGGUGGCACAAAUAAACCACAGGAUGAGGCUGGGUCAGCGGAACCUUCAUCUUCACCGCCCAAGGAUGCUUAAAGUCCACCUAGAUAAUAACCAGUGGAUGACUUGUUGUAUUGUAUCAUGUUGUUUGGAUAUUUAAUUUAAAUAUGUGUAUUUGUAUCUAUAUCUAAACUUUCAGCAUUAUUUGCACUACAACGUUUGACAUGCUUUCAAUCAUGAAUCCAUUUUCAAGUGUAAUCAAUUUUCACGCGUAAUCCAUUUUCAAGUGUAAUCAAUUUUCACGCGUAAUCCAUUUUCAAGUGUAAUCAAUUUUCACGCGUAAUCCAUUUUCAAGUGUAAUCCAUUUUCAUGCGUAAUACGAUGCAGAUGGACCGGCAAUGGAUGUAUAAUGCAGACAGACGGAGCAAGGUGUUUAUUGAUGGCUUGCAUUAUUUUCUCGAAGUGGCCAAAGCGAACAAGCCAGAGAAUGGGUUCGUAUGUUGUCCAUGCUUCCAAUGCAAUAACAAGAAGGACUAUUCAAAGGAUUCCUGGGGGACUAUUCACAGCCACUUGUUUAGAUACGGUUUCAUGCCUAACUAUUUGGUUUGGACCAAGCACGGUGAAAGAGGGGUUGUAAUGGAAGAUGGUGAGGAGGAGGAGGAGGAUGGCAACAUUCCUGACUAGGUUGCAGGCCAAGCUUUUGCAGAUACUACAAUGGGCGAGGCUGAUGAAGAUGAGUUUGCAGAAAAUGGCCCUACGAUGACCUUGGUCAGGUGCUACGAGAUGCACACAGAGAUUGCGAAACUGAGAAGGAAGCAGCAAAGUUGCAGCGCAUGAUAGAUGAUCACCAAAAAUUGUUGUACCCAGAUUGCCAGCAGGGCCAUAAAAAACUAGGUACGACACUAGAAUUUGUGCAAUGGAAGGCAAAAAAUGUUGUGUCCGAUAAGGCAUUUCAGGGGAUGUUGAACAUUGUCUAGAAGAUCAGGCGAGAUGAUCCUGGUGAUGUCGAGGGGCAGUCUCCCAAGAAGAGAGUUCCCACGAAGGUGAUGUGGUAUUUCCCUAUAAUACCACGCUUGAAGCGCUUGUUCAGGAACAAGGCAAAUGCUAAGUUGAUGCGAUGGCACAAAGAAGAACAUAUGGAAGAUGAGAUGCUGAGACACCCCGUAGAUGGGGCCCAGUGGAGAUCAAUUGAUAGAGCAUUCCUGGACUUUGAAAGUGAAGCAAGGAACAUAAGGUUUGGUUUAAGUACUGAUGGAUUCAAUCCAUUCGGUGAGUUGAGUAGUGGCUAUAGUACUUGGCCUGUGACCCUAUGUAUGUUCAACCUUCCUUCUUGGCUGUGCAUGAAGCGGAAGUUUAUUAUGAUGCCGGCGCUUAUCCAAGGCCCAAAACAACCCGGCAAGGGAUAUGGAACAGAGGAGUUGAUCGAGUUUUGUGUUGAUUUUAUUGACUCAAUUGACUCGAUUGGGAUUCCAACUUCACGCCACGAGGGGAGGCUCCGGGGAAUGGGCACCCUUGGAAGGAAAUCAAGUUUGAGCAAUGAUACUGAUUUGUUCGACAAGGCACACUACACUGUUCUGCAAUAGUCAUCCUUUGUGUCUCCCUAUAUCGAGCAGCACAGGCAGAUGGUAGUUUUCCAAAAACCUGACGAAAUCCGAUGCUUGGCUUACACAUCAUCACAUGGAAACUUUUUCCUCCUGGUUGCGCCAACAACUCAUGGGUAACUCUGAGAUUUACCCACAGCUCGCUUGGUUAGCCAGGGGACCUGCUAGCACAAUCGUGAAAUUUCAAGACUAUGAGAUAAAUGGUUAUACAUUUUACACGAGAGCCUAGGACCAGAAAAGCACGAACAAGAAUAGUGGUGUCCGCAUAGAUGCCAUAGAUAGAAAUAAUAACAAGGAGUCGUAUUAUGGUUUCAUACAGGAGAUAUGGGAACUCGAAUACGGACCGCUGUACAUCCCUGUAUUUCUUUGCAAUUGGGUGAAGCUAACUGCCGUAACCAAAGAUCAGUACGGAAUGACAAUAGUAGAUCUGAGCAAGACUGGAUACAGUGAUGACCCAUUCGUACUUGCGAAUGAUGUGCAUCAGGUUUUCUAUGUGAAGGACAUGUCUAGCAAACCCAAGAGAAAUCCAGAAGAGACAUGGGAGCCAAAGUGCCACAUAGUUCUUCCAGGUAAAAGAAAAAAUCGUUGGAGUCGAGGAUAAAAUAGACCAAUCAGAUGAUUAUGAUCAGUUUGAUGGCAUGCCUCCAUUCGCAGUUGAAGUUGACCCAAGCAUCCUGGUAUCCAAAGAAGAGGCUCCAUACUUACGCCGGGAUCAUGAUCAAGGAACUUUCGUGAAGAAGAAAUUUUACAACGUUGUAUUGUAAUGCGCUAAAUUUACUUGACCUUUGUGAAGUACUUGAUACAAUUUUUAAUUUAACCUAUGUAUGAUUUCAUGUGUUCUUAAAUUUGUUGAGGUGAAGAUUUAUUAGAUAAACAUGAACAAUGUUAACCACAUACAUAUAUGGAUUUUUUUUGCGCGUUGAAAUUAUUUAAUUGAAUAAUUUCUCCAUCAUUGCGAUGUAGUAAAAUAAUUAUUUUAGAGGCUAAACGAACUGGUAUAGAAUUAAUGACUAAUUCACACUUAUUGUCAAUAUACUUGCUAAUUAAAUAUAUUUUUGCAUGUUCAAAAUAUGUGAAUUUUUUUGUUUUUGCAUCCUGAAAUGCAGUGAAAACAUACAUAAAAUCCUUUUCCAAAAAAUAGGCGGGAGAUGAAAGUGUGGGAAAAGGCCCUUUUGUCCCGGGUGCCAAUAGAAACCGGGACAAAAGGACCUUUUAUCCCUGUUGCCAACUACAACCGGGAUAAAAGGGUAGUUUUCGUUUCCCGCCGGGGACGUACCCUUUUAUCCCGGUUACAGUUAGCAACCGGGAUAAAAGGGGGGGCCCUUUUGUCCCGGUUGGUGUUGGCACCCGGGAUAAAAGGGCCUUUAGUCCCGGGUUCAAUUACGAACCGCGAUAAAAGCGGGGAGGGAUAAAAGGCACUGUAGCCUCUUCUACCACCACCCCACGCUAGUUACGACACUUAGCCAAAUUUUCACCGCUGCCAAGAUCCCGCGCCCUUCCGCCAGCUCCGUCACCGCCCAUCCGCCUCCCUCGCCGGCCGCCGUCGUCCUCGUCGUCCAUCGCCCCGGCCAUCAUCGUCCCGCCGCCCGACCGCCUCGCCCGCGCCCAGACCACCUCCUCCUCCAUCGCCCCGGCCCGCCUCCGAUCCUCCUCCGUCGUGCCCCCUCGACCUCGUCGCAGCCGGCCGCCUCCAUCGCGGGGCCUCGUCCCCGCCUCAGUCAACGCCACAUUCUCUGUCGCCGCCUCAUCACCGCCUCUGUCGCGCGCGCCGCCUCCGUCCCUCGUCGCCGUCCGCCUCCGCCCGUUGUUGCUGUGGCCACCUCGCUCCGUCCCCGCCUCCGCCGUCCCACCGCCCCGGCCGCCGCCGUCCCGCCGUCCCGGCCAUCUCGUCGCCCAGCUAGGCACCGCGUGAGGUCCGCCGGCACUGGCACCGGGAAUGAACAGCUCUUGCUGACGCAAACCCACCGGCUUGCGUAAGCAAGGACCUUUUUUAUUUUUUAGUUAGAAAAUGAAUAGAUAUUAGUAGAUUAGUUAGAAAAUCAAUAGAUAUUUGUAGAUUAGUUAGAAAAUCAAUAGAAAAUCAGUUGAUAAAUUUUGUAGAAAUUCAUUCAAAUUACUAGGAAUUAGUUGUAAUUUGCUAGAAAUUCCAAUAAAUAUGUUGAAAUAAGUAGAAAUUUGGUAGAAAUUCUUACAAAGUACUACUAAUUUGUUGAAAUUUGUAUAAACAUUCCGAACUCUGUGGGAUUCAUGUUAUUGUAAAAUUAUUAGGCAUUAGUAGAAAUUUUGUAGAAAUUCCAAUAAAUAUGUAGAAAUUAGUAGAAAUUUUGUAGAAAUUCUUACAAAGUACUACUAAUUUGUUAAAAUUUGUAUAAACAUCUCGGAUCAGCGCUUGGUUUGUUGAAAUUUGUAUAAACAUCUCGGAUCAGCGCUUGGGUUUUGUAAGUGUCCAUUUAUCUACAUGUAAAUUUUGCCUCAUAUCAUUAUUUUUUUUGCGUGCGUCACCGUACUAACUUCAUCUUCCAUUUUAUGUAUCAUGCUAAUUCAGAUGUGCCGACGAGAGGCGUACCUACAUAUUGGCUUCAUGGAUCCAUCCGUAGUUAACCAAAAACAGAUACAAUUAUCGCCGGAAAAAACCUUGGUGGAAGUAUACAAUUUCCUAGACAAACAAAAAUUCAAGGAUUUCAUACUACUUCCAUACAACUUCAAGUAAGUGUGUGUAUACCAUCUACUUUCGUUGUCUUUUUCCUUACCUGAUUAAUUAGUUAGCUCUAAUAUGCAUGAACAUUUUACGUACGCAGCUUCCACUGGAUCCUCAUUAUAAUUGAGCUUGAAAGAAGCCACGUCACUGUCUUCGAUUCGUUGAGGAAAGAUCCGGUGGAGUACCAAGACAUGCAAGACAUGCUAGGCUUGUAAUAAUUCUGGACCUUUAUCUCUAUGCAAAAGUUUGUUUCCUAAAUUUUAUCCCUGUUACACUAUAUCAUUCAUUAUUCUAAUCCGCAGCGCAUGGAAACAAUUCAUAAGGACACACAAAGGUCCAUUCAAAGAAAAACUUACAUGGAACACAGACUUCCCGGUACGUAUGAAGUCUGCACAUUUAGUACAUUGUAUAACACGAAUAUUUUAUAACUUAUUUUUUUCGACACUGAAGUCCUUAAGAUAGGAACUCGGGAAUAAUCUAUGUGGCUACUACAUCUGUGAGCACAUGCACAGUUUUAUGGGACCCAAGGGACUAAAGCUGACGCCGCACAACUUUAAAGUACGUAAAAUAAAACUACUACUAGUUAAUUAUUUUCUAGCUCCUUAUAUUUAAUUGUUCGUGUAACAUUCACAAAUUUCCAAAUUAUAGAUGUUAAAUAUUCAACAAGGACUCUUGAAGAAAAAAAAGGGUAGCGGCAAUAUGUGAAGGUCUCGUUGGAUUCCUAAUGGACGAUGUAGUAAAUGCACAAGGAGAAUUUUAUUACGAUGGACGACAAUUAGACGCUCCGAGCAACACCUCGACGGGAAGAUUGUAGAUAUAUAGUUUGAUUUGUAUACAUAACACGCGCUAAGAUCGAUUUGUAUAUAUAGUUGAUUUCAUUAUACUAGUUGAAUUAUGUAUAUGAAUUGUGUAUAUAUAGUAAUUGUAUAAUUACAAAUUUCAUUCGUUUAAAUACUAGUUGAUUUCAUUAUAAAAAAAGUCUCAACUACUAAAGGUUAACAAAAGGGCCGCGGUACUACGUACGUGAUGCAUGAAAAUUUCAGAUGCCAUGCAGGAAAAUUUAAAUAGGACUUUAGUCCCGGUUGGGAAACCCAACCGGGACUAAAGGGGCACCCUUUACUCCCGGUUGCUUUUACCAACCGGGAGUAAAGGGCCUGUCCCGCGCCAACCGGGACUAAAGGGUGACCUUUACUCCCAGUUGAAGGACCCGGGACUAAAGACCCCCCCUUUUGUCCCGGUUGGUUUAUCCCGGAUGGAUUUUCGAGAGAUAUGCACCCUACCAACCGGGACUAAAGGCGAGUUCUCUACUAGUGUAGGCCAUGCAGCCGGCUCUGUGGUACCAAAAAGAAAUUUUUGACAUGGUUUACAUCGAGAACGUUUUGAAACUAGACUUUGGUACGCAGUUCACCUUCUUAACAAUAACGGCGUACAUAGACGCUAUCUAAAUUGACCACUUUAAGAUUUAGCGAGAGAUCUAUUUUUUUAAUCCCGUAGCGAGAUCUAUUUUUAUAAUCGCGUAGCGACUGUACGAAGGACUGAAAAAUAAGUUUGAUUACCGUAUAUAGUUAGCCAACUCGUUAAUGGAAUAAACGAUAGAGUUCUGCGAGGCAGACUAGCCUUUCACACGCACCAACUGAACCAGCUGGCAUGAUGUAUUUGAUCUUACUCCCUUGGUCCCAUGGAAAGGUAGAAAUAACCAUAUAUAGGCAUGUAAUUAUCAGUUAUACUUAUGGGAUACUUAGAUGACUUGAUGUAUGAAUCAAGAAAAUGCAUCGAUCGAGAACUUACGGGGAUCAUCUCAAUAAUUUAGAGACCAUGCGCAUAUAUAUUGUGGAAGGUGUGCGUGAGGGUCGUUAUCUAUAUCCUGUGUUAGAAAAAGAUUGCAUAUAUAGUUAAUGUUUGUCUUUCUUCGGAUGGCACGUUAGCUGACCAUUGACAACAUGUGAUGAUUUUACUAACAUCAAAAUUAGGCAUGCCCCAUUUUUUAAUUGGUGCAUGGAGUGGGAGGUUUUGGUGGGUGAGCAUUGGUGUGCAACUCGUGUGCGUGAGCAUGUGUGCGUAAGAUAAUGUGUUUUGUUAGAAAAAGAAGAUAAUGCCUCUAAACAAUCCAGAAUAGAAGGCGGGCCCUGACGACAAGAUAAUACCUUACGCGGCGAUGUCUCAACGUGUCACCUGGGGCGGCUUUUGCAGUUUCCCCGUACACACACUAAGAGCCUCCGACCCUUUUUUGUCAAACCUUCUCUUGUAGUCAUGCAUAUAUCCAUGAUGAUUUGAGUCUACUGAUUGACAGUUAGAUAUUUUGCUUGUUUGUGAGAAUUUUUAGUUUCUAUUUUUUUAGAGUGUCCACCUAGGAUCCUAGGUGGCUUCACCUGAAAGCUUCAAAAGAAGCGUCCAAAUUAGUAAUCAUAAGAUUUUCUCAAAAGAGACUUAAUUCUACCACUAUACCUUGAUUGGCGGCCCGAGCCUCUACCUUUGUCUCCACUUGACUAUUUGAGUUGGCUCAGAACGGUUCACCGCGCUAGCAACGUUACGUUUGAUCCCAAUGCCACCACUCAUGUGCGCCACCUGUAUCUACCAAGUGGCAUGUGGUAAUGCCAUGUUUGUUUUAAUUUCGUCCAUCAGCAUUCACAAUGAUAUCAUCACCAUUAUGUAAUUAUCCCACUUUUAAUUUUCUUGCAACUCUGUGAAGUUAACAGUCUCUGAUCAAGUUUCCGAGGAUUGCUAUAUCUUUGUUUAUUAUCUACGGAAGUUGACAGCACAUCCACCAUAAUUCAUGGCCCACCAGACUCUAAGUCCACUGCGAGUAUAUAUUAAUUUGUUUUAAUCCGACUAUACUAGAUGUGUACCAAUCAUUCGAUAUGAGGGACGAACUAAUUGUUUCUUGUCGACUAUUGCACCGUACCUCUCGUUUUCCAAACAAUUAAAAGGUACCCUUCCGUGAUGGUUGUACCGAUACCGACUAUCUAUAUUAUUGCUUUCUUGAGCAUACCAAACGAGUUAAUUGGUAUGAUGAUGUUAUAGCUCAUUUAUAUAUGCUUAAAUACAUACACCGGUAGAAAACUCGCCUUUAGUCUCGGUUGGUACGUGUUAGACACCUAAUCCUUGCAUUGAUGGCUAAUCCUUCCAGCUUUUGUCUUCACGCACGCAUGCAUUGAUAGCCUCCUGCGGAUGGCCUUUCAGCUACUGCGCCGUUCAACUUCUGUGGCCUGUCCGGCUUCUUCCUUUCCCCAUAUAAUGUAAUACGUUCAACUCAAAUGAAUGAAAUCAAAUUAUGCGUGUAUUAUUCUCGCUUUCAGUAGGGGCCAAAUCUCCCGAAAAUCCAUCCGGGAUAAAGAUGAGAAAUUAAUCCAUGCGUGGCUUCAUGCAAAUUUGUUCAGAUCAGGUUUGAACAGCAUGUAAUCUUUUUCAGGCAUCUAUAUGGAGCGUGGGUGUGUUAUGUUAUCUUCUACUACACAUAUAACAUUAAAUUCAUUCAGUUUGGCUGAGAGCCCAAAAUGCAACGAAUAUGCCAUCCAACGUGAAAAAAAGAUGUGGAACAGUAUACUCUAUCUUCGAAAUUAAUUAACGAGAUUCAGCUUCAAAAGAGAUAAGAGCAGACAAGAGGCACAUGGGUGCAUGCAUCCACACCUUGGGAUGCUGCAAAAUUUGGGAUCACGUGUGCGGAUCCCUAAUUAGGAAAAAAGAAUAAUUGUGCUAGCAAAAUGUGGAACACGACUGCCGGCCCAGUUGGCGCUAAGACAUCGUACGUGCAUUAAGUCUGAGGUGCCCAACGAUCUCUUUCUUUAACUCAUGCUUGACUGUGACGGUGCUAUUAUAUAAUAUUGCAUGAUCAUCAUGAUAAGAUCGUAUAGUGACUGAGUGAGACAUGUACUAUAACUUGCAUUUAAGCCUCGAACUGUGUGUCGUUACGUGAGCUGCCUCCUCUCCUCGCCUCUGAAUUAUUGAACCGUUUCCAACAGUGUUGGUCUCGACGAAAUUUGACGCCAACCAGAUUUAUGAAGAAAAGAGAAUAAUACUUGGAAUUGGGAAAAGUUGAUCUCUCUUUACAAUGGGUAGGUGCUCCCCUUUUAUAGUGACCCAUGAGCCACUUUACAUUCCGAAAAUAUCCUUUCUCAACCACUACAUUCCUAGGAUAUGCCGUACAAAUUGAACUCUUCCACGUGGUCACAUUUCUCACACCUCCUGUUUUCCAACCUCAAGACUUCAUCUUCACGCCAAGUUGAUCAUCUAGCCUCGAGGCUCCAUCCACGAUCUGGAAUGAACGUCCAGCUCGAGGCUCCUGCUUGUUAGAAGAACCGUCGUAUGAGACGAGGAUUGUAUCUUAGAGAUAAGAGUUGUUAUGGUUUGAGUUGGCCGGCUAGUAGAUAGAGAUAGAAUCUUGAUGUAUUUGAAUGCUGGCUAAACUUUAUCUAUAACAACAUGCAUUGUAAUCUGUUGGGACUUUCCCCCUAUAUAAACGUGCAACCACGGCGAGCCAAGAUAGGGCAACCGUGUUCAACUCUUUUGACAUGGUAAUCAGAGCCUUUCUUCCAUAAAAUACAUCUACAUCUACACCACCUGGCGCACGCCACCUUGCAUGCAACAGUCAUGGUGUCAUCAUCGUCGUUGUCAGCCACUACGCCCACGGCGGCGCAGCUUGGAGCUCCUGUAGCUGAAAAGCUUACAGGGGAGAAUUAUGUCUUAUGGAAGGCUCAAUUCUUGCCUGCUGUGCGGGGUGCGCAGCUCAUGGGAGUCCUCAACGGAUCUGUCAAGGAGCCGGCCAAGACCAUGGAACUGGUGAAGGCUGACGGCAAGAAAGGGUAGCAUGACUUCAUCAACUUACUACACCAAGAUGUCUUAGCUGGGCUCUAGCCCCGAUCUUGCCAUGCGCUCCGCGAGCUCCAGUGCGUUGUCGACAAGCCUGAGCCGCGUGCAGCACAUGAGCACCGCGUUCCACACGACCGCCGUGGCCUCCAUCGUCUCAGCACCCAUGUGGCCACAGCCACGUCCGUGUUCUCGACGUACAUGCCGGCGAGGAACCCGGGAACGAGCGGGUGCGCGUCGACGUGGUGGGGAGCGUGGCAGCGGCAGCUUUGCUCGAUCUGGCGGCCGGAGAGUGGGACGAGACCACCACGGGGGAGACGGUCGGUGGUGGUGGCGGUGGCAAUGGGAGGAAGGCCUUGGAGAUCAAGGGAUCCAAGGGCCCCUUCCAAGAGAGAAGGGAGAUCGGGGGAGGAGACCGAUGGAGGGGAGGCGGGAGGGAGGAUCGCCGGCAGCGGGGGUAAGGAGAAAGAACAGGCGCGCGGGAGGGAGUCACGGUGCCGGAGACUCGGGAGAAAAGAAGCGAAUCAUUUUUGUGUAACCAGUGGUAUUGGUAGGUAAUUACCCACCAACUCCACGAGGAGGUUCAUAUUGGGUAGUUUUGGAGUUGCAAAAGAGGUGCUCCAAAACUCCACCCCCAUUUGCACUACAGCUCCAUGGAGUUUUGGAGUUGGGGUGUUUGGCUGUAAAAUUGGCUAGAGUUGUUGGAGGUCAGCUCCAGAGCCAUGCCAAACACGCCCUAAGGAUCAGGAAACGAGGAAAAUCCUUCAUCAAGGUAGAUGCAAAAGCGGGCCUUUAUCCAUUAGAAUCCAUCUUGUCAGAAGAAGGCGAUGACAAGAGAGUUUAUGGUGCCAUCAAACCAUCUGCUUCUAGAUGGCAUAGCCGCUUAGGCCAUCCAGCUUAUCCUAUUAUUCAGCGUGUGCUUAAUCAUCAUAAUCUUCCUUGUGGUAGUACUAAUUUUGAGUCAGUUUGUGAUUCAUGUCAAAUGGCUAAAAGCCAUCAACUUCCAUAUUCUAGUUCAAUAAAUUCGUCAAAAGCUUCGCUUGAUCUUAUUCAUUCUGAUGUUUGGGGGCCUGCACCUAAUUCUGUUGGUCGAUAUUCCUACUAUGUGAGCUUUAUUGAUGAUUAUAGUAGGUUCACCUAGAUUUAUCUCCUGAAAAAGAAAUUUGAUGUCUUUCAAGUGUUCAAAGAAUUUCAGAAUCUAGUGGAGCGAAAACACAAUAAGAAAACUGUAUCCAUGCAAACUGACUGGGGAGGCGAAUAUGAGAAGUUGAAUUCCUUCUUUCAGCAAAUUGGUAUAGCACAUCGCGUCUCAUGUCCUCAUGCCCACCAGCAAAAUGGCCUCGUCGAGAGAAAGCAUCGUCAUACUGUUGAAGUUGGUCUCGCUCUUCUCGCAAAUGCUUCAAUGCCUUUAAAAUUUUGGGAUCAAGCUUUUUUGACGGCCACUUAUCUCAUUAAUAUGCUUCCCAGUAAAAUUCUUAAUUUUGAUACUCCUACAGAACGCUUGCUCCAAGAAAAGCCUCAUUACAGCUCUCGUCGCAUUUUGGGGUGCGCUUGUUGGCCUAAUUUGUGACCCUAUAAUACUCACAAGCUAGCUUUUCGUUCCGUUAAAUGCACCUUUCCUAGUUACAGUUUCAUGCAUAAAGGCUUCAAGUGCUUAGAUCCCUCUACCGGCAGAAUUUAUAUCUCCCGAGAUGUUGUUUCGAUGAAUCGAUCUUUCCGUUUGCUCACUUACAUCCCAAUGCAGGCGCCCUUCUCAGUAAAGAGAUUCUUCUUUUACCUGACCAUCUUCGUAAUCCGGGGGAUGUAAGUUGCAUAGACAAUAUUACUAUACUACUGACCGUUUGCAUGAUAGCAAUGCGCAAGAUGUUUUUCAGGGGAAACUGUCACCGGGCUGGGCGCACGGUGACGCAGAAAAUCACGGCGGCACAUUCCAGGAGGAUUUGAUGCCAGGUGCCGACGGUCCAGGCGCUGACUCCCAGGGAGAUUCGGCGGCAGCAUCCGUUUUGCUCCCCUCCUUCCCAGCAAUGCCCAUCUCGCCGAAUACAUCUCCAACGCGUGGCUCCACGACAUGCCCAGCGCCCGCACCCGGCACUCCUCCGUCGCCGCAUGGCCCCGCACCUGGCCAAUCGCCUGCGCUAGCCGCCGGGAGUCCGACGCGUGGGGGGGGGGGUACCCAUCUAUCGCGCCAGACAGUCUCCCACCCGUGCCUGCUGCCCCGAAUCGUGCUAGCGCUGGAUCCUCUGCGGGAAGCAGAUCCGGUGUGGAAUCUAUGCCUGGUCAGGCCAGUUCUUUGGCGCUGGCUGCCCCUGCACCGUCUGUUUCACUGCCAAGACAACGGACACGGCUUCAAAGUGGAUUACGAAACCUACAUAGUUCCAGGACAUGAUCAGGUAUGGGUUGUUCUUAGCUUCUGCGGAACCACAGGAUUUUCAUGAAGCUCUAAAUGAUUAUAGAUGGAAAAAAGGCUAUGCAAGAUGAAUUUGAUGCUCUCAUUAGAAAUCAAACUUGGCACUUAGUUCCUGAAAUAAAGGGUAACAAUAUUAUUGAUUGCAAGUGGGUAUUCAAAAUCAAGAAAAAAUCAGAUGGUACCAUAGAUAGAUAUAAAGCAAGGCUAGUUGCAAAGGGUUUUCAGCAACGGUAUGGCAUUGAUUAUGAGGAUACUUUCAGUCCAGUGGUUAAGAUUGCAACUGUCAGGCUUGUCCUCUCAAUUGCUAUUUCGAAAGGGUGGUGUCCAAGAUAGUUAGAUGUAUAGAAUGUGUUUCUUCAUGGUGUUCUGGAAGAAGAAGUUUAUAUGAGGCAACCUGCAGGAUUUGAAAAAGGAGCUUUGCAUCUUGUGUGCAAAUUGGACAAGGCUAUCUACGGCUUGAAACAAGCCCCGCGAGCUUGGUAUGCUAAGUUAUGUUCCAAACUUAUUGCACUUGGAUUUGUUGCAUCUAUAUCAGACACUUCGUUAUUCAUCUAUCAAAGAUUGGGUGUCAUAAUUUAUAUGUUGAUUUAUGUUGAUGAUAUAAUUGUGACAAGUUCGUCAAGUGAAGCUGUUACGACGUUGCUUGCUGAUCUCAAGAAGGAUUUUGCUCUAAAAGAUCUGGGGGACCUCAGUUACUUCCUGGGUAUUGAAAUUAAAAGAGAAAAGAAUACUCUGCUGCUAACACAAGAAAAGUAUGCAAAGGAGAUUUUGUCACGGGUUGGUAUGGAGAAUUGCAAACCAUCAUCUACACCAUUGUCUACUAGUGAGAAACUUUCAAAGUAUGAAGGGGAGUUGCUGAAUUCAAGCGGUAGUACGAGGUACAGAAGCGUCGUUGGUGCAUUGCAAUAUCUCACUCCUACCUGACCGGAUCUAGCAUUCUCUGUGAACAAAGUGUGUCAAUUUCUACAUGCUCCUACCACGGUUCAUUGGACUGCUGUAAAAAGGAUACUUCGGUAUGUCAAGUUCACAUUGGAUCUUGGACUAAAUUUUCAGGCGUCAUCCUCCACCUUGGUUAUUGCUUUCUGUGAUGCUGAUUGGGCAGGAAGUGUUGAUGAUAGAAGAUCUAUCGGAGGGUUUGCAGUUUUCUUUGGUCUGAACUUGAUUUCUUAGAGUGCUAGAAACCAAGCCACUAUCUCAAGAUCAAGUACAGAAGUUGAAUACAAGUCUAUGGCAAAUGCAACUGCAGAGUUAAUAUGGUUGGAAUCCUUGCUAAAGGAGCUGGGUAUACGGCUGCAUCAACCACCAUGUUUACAGUGUGACAAUUUGGGAGCUACAUAUUUGUCUGCCAAUCCAGUCUUUCAUGCGAGAGCAAAGCAUAUAGAAAUUGAUUUUCACUUUGUUCGCGAGCGUGUGGUUAAUAAAAAGCUGCAGGUGCUGUUGGUUGCUUCCAGAGACCAGCUUGCGGACUGUUUACCAAAGCCUUGCCGUGCGGAUUGCUGGAAGCUUUCAAGAGCAAUCUAAAUAUCAAAAGGAAGAGAAGUUUAGAUUGAGAGGGACUGUUAGAAGAACCGUCGUAUGAGACGAUGAUUGUAUCUUAGAGAUAAGAGUUGUUAUGGUUUGAGUUGGCCGGCUAGUAGAUAGAGAUAGAAUCUUGAUGUAUUUGAAUGCUGGUUAACUCUAUCUGUAACAACAUGCAUUGUAAUCUAUUGGGACCUUCCCCCUAUAUAAACGUGCAACCACGGUGAGCCAAGAUAGGGCAACCGUGUUCAACUCUUUUGACACUGCUUCGUUAAGCUUUGUUGAGAACUCAUAAACUCACAUAGUUCUCCUUUGAGUAUUGUUCCUAACUAAAGAGUAAACAGGUAAAAGCUCGGUGCCCGGAACCGACUCAGAACACUCGAGGCUUAACUUAGUUGGAGUUUAGCUAUUACCAUUGCCAGUGACCAGCCUCGAGCCCCUCUAGAAGCAAGGUGAUGCGAGGGUGCGAGUUUUACUAUAAGAGGUGUCCCUAUAGAACGUGCGAGGUUAAAGGUGUUCCGUUACUUUUCCUGCCGACGCAUAACUUGCAAGGUUAAGGGGUUUUUAUCCCACAAACGGUGCUCCAGGAUGUUCAGAUUUUUGGGAUCCCCAACAAACAGCAAUCUUGAGUGGCUCUAAAUUGUUGUUGGCCACAUCAUACCUUGUCUUGGGCUGCUGGGUCGUGUUGUGCACCACGAGUGCACGAUCAGACAUCCUGCACUGUUAAGUCUUCGAUGAUACGGCUGCCUUGCUUCCUCAGCUUGUCAGCAACUGCUUCUUGACUGCUACAGUACAAUUAUUGCAUGGUAUCAAGGUAAUAUAUAUAGUGACUGAAUGAGCACAUAUAACAUAUGCAUUUAGGCCUCCAACUGGUCAUUGCACGAGCUGCCUCCUCUCCUUACCUCUGAAUUAUGGAGCCAUAUCCAACAACAACCUUGACAGUGAUGAUGAUGACGACGAUGAUGAAAUUAAGAAAAGAAGCUUUAUGCAAAUUGCAAAAAGCUGAAAAAGUGGUUGAAACAUUUCAAAUCACCAAAUGCCACAUUUGAAAUGACUAGAUGAAACAUCACGAAAUCAAUUGCAACAGUUGAAGAUGAAAACAUUCAAACGCCUUGCCUUUCUCCAGAUUUGACCCUCCAAGCAUAUAUGAGUCCAGCCAUUUGCACAUUAGACCCUUGGGAGGAGCUCACCGGAGAACAACAAGACCGUGUUCUCCAACAAUUUUCCGAUCAAAUUGCAACAUAAAAAAGAAAGCAUUGCAACACAUCUGGCAUCGCGAGCUACAACAUCAACCAGUUAGGAUUAGGAGAAAGAGGGCAAACCCAAGCCUAGCAAUGAGUUAUAUCCGGUUUAAACGAGGAUAAAAAUGAGUGUAUUUUCCACUCAUCAUGUUGUCUUUUCGCAGCUGUACCGCCUUUAGUAUGUUGUAUUGUUCCCCUAACACCAAGUCUCCGAGGCCCGAGAAAAUAAGGAAAGUGAUAGCAGCCCAGAAAUCGACCAAGUUUCUUUCCCCCUUUGGCAUUCCUACUAGGAUUCGGAAUACUCUUUCGCAUGACAAUCAUAAUUAUCUCCCAUAAUCCAAAACUCACAAAAACAUCAAAAAUCCGCCGAGAAUAAAUUAAGUAAAAAACAUGCACAAACAAAUAAUAAUAAUAAUCAUGUUUCAAUAAAAUUGCUAAGGCCAGAGACAAUACAUAAACAUAUUAGACUGUUCAUGACACAUAUCACGGUGGACAGUGUCUAUGUCCUUAUUACAAGCAGCGAGAGGAAUUAAAUAUGCUUGACACCACACACACGAGCGCACAGAUGCACGACACACAUAUAGUUGAGACCAACAGAUGGACCUCGACUAGAGGUCGCCUCAUAUGGUGAACAAUUUAUUGGAGAUAAACAUGAACAUAACUUGGCCAUAGCUUGAAGCAUAGCAACAUAUGCCUAUGAAUGGCAUUCAUGCUGGUAGCAAUGCAAUCAUAUCGUUUUAGGCUUGUCCAGCUUCUUCCAUCUUAGCAAGCACUGCCAUUUCUUCCAUCUUAGCAGCAACUGUCAAAUUGAGAUAUGGUAUCCCAUUAGCGUAUGAGUUAAUUUUGCACUGGAAAUAGAGUACAAGAUGUCUUCAUGAUGUAAGUAAUAUGCCUGAAGUUGUGAGAUGGGAAGUGAAGUCAACAAAUUACAUUAACGGAAAUGCAUGGAAGGCCACACAUACGUAUUAGUCCACGAUAUGCUACAAAGCUUGUAUGUACAUAUAACAAAUUAAAUGCAUUGAAUAGAGUGAGUUUACUGAAUUUACCAGAAUCGGACAGAACACAUGGGAAACAGCAAGUGUUCUUGCAGAGUGAGUCGGAGCCACCUGCAGUAAUACAAGCAAAACAACAUGCUUUUGCCCGGGCGGAUACGCAGCAGCUGCACUGUGCCGCGGUGGCCGGGUUAACAUUGAGGCUCAAGAUGACCAGGCACAUGAUCACCAUCAAAGCGGUAGUCCUCUUUCCCUCCAUUGCCUCCUCUUGCUGCUACCUUCCUUGGUUACCUAGCUAAGUUUAUUGGUUUUGUGUUGAGAGGUGAUUCUUGAAUGGACGUUGCCGGCUGCAAUUUAUAGGCAGCUGCGCUAUGUGAUGAUAUGGACAAGGUGCAAAUGGGUGGUCCAAUGGCAAGGAAAGGGGGUAUUCUGCUUGACAUUGGCAUCAGACAAAGCCCAAUGGCAACUGCUGACACGCGAUUAAAAUCAGAUCCACAUCUUAUCCAGCCAUUCACUAAUAAUUAAACUAAACCCACGCGGUCCGCGAGAUGCAGCGUCCAUGCAUAGCACUUCCCGCAAACAAUAGGAAAAAUUAGAAUUCAGAGAUAGCAGCUGCUUGCAUGAAACACGGUUGCACAGAAAUCAGUGGUGCUUGGACGGUAAGUAGUGUGGUGUACAAGCUUAAAGCGGCAGUGAGUCACGUUGGUGUAACAAGCAGUACAUCAGCUGGAAGAUUGAUAUGUCUAUUGCCCACGCAGCAUAGCAUUUUAUUAUGAUACAUUGAGUUAUGUCAUAUUGUUACUUUAAGUUAUUUUUUAAGUAUUAGUUGUAGACAAUUUAGUUGCAAAUUUAAGCGGUUAUUUUAAAUUAUUUUUUAUAAUGGAAUAAGUGGGUAAUUUAGAUGAAGAUUAGGGGGUUACUUUAGCUUAUUUUAUAUAAUAGCAGAGGUGGGUAAUUUAGAUAUAAAUUUAGACACGUUUAACAAAAUGUAUCUACAGUUUCUGACACGGUCCGUGUGGAGACGCUCCAGACAUGCUUUACUCAAGCGCAUCUAUACUUCAGUAGAAAUGAAAUAAAGCGUAUCUAACAUAGGAAUAAAGUGUAUCUAGAGGAGGUUUUUCUUGUAGCGAGGGAUGAACCAUUAUUGGACGAACUGGCACACUUGCUUCUACCCGCUCCCCCACACCCCACAACCGCCCCCAGUGUGAGCGUCCAAGUCUCGAUCGUUGCUCGCGUUAAGCGGUGCCGCCGCACUGCACCACAGCGACAGAAGCCACACCACCGGCUGCAUGUGACAGCGGGGAGCACCCUCACCACCUGCCCGCGGGGAGCGCUUACGCCAGCCAUAGUGUCCCCGUAGAACCGCCACGCGAGCAUGUGAGCCACCGACCGCCGUGCCCCCAAGGGCCAUCACCGCGCUACCCGAGGAUGUUGUCUACCCGGUGCCACGCGCCUCUGCUAGGUGCCUGCACCUGGGCCGCCACCGGUCGCCUGCACAGCCACGUGUUGCAGCUGCCCCCUGCGCUGAGCCACCCCAUUAAACGUUGGAAGAACCACCUGAGUCUCGCACGCCGAGGUCUUGCUGGUGACGACCAUGGCCUCCGCGAUCAUAUGAAAAAGUUGUCAACUACAAAGUAUUAGGCCUCGUCGAGCUCUACAAUUUUGAUCGAAAGUUUCUAUUCAUCCGAGAUCAAAUGAAAAAGUUGGUACUCAAAAUAUACAUCCAUUAAUCUAGUCGUGCUAAUCCUUACCACAAAUUAAAAAACUAGCAUGUGUCGUGUGUUUGUGACCCUAAACAAUCACAAACGAAUAACUUAUCAACUUCAAAAUUUAGCUGAUCAGGAGUCUAGGCAACCUCAAGGGUAUAAAUAUGUGCACCCUGAGGCUUGCAAGAUUUUAUCUCUCGAUUAAUCAAUGCAAUUUUUGGGCGCCACGCAGCCAAACCCUUAGGAGUAGAAGUAACGUAGCUUUUUGAUGAGUAUCUUCUUGCGCGCAGGGCUGCAUCAGCUUCGAUAUCCGACGAACUUGUAAGUACCGUCAUCCGGUCAUUACGUUAUCUAUAUUAAAAGUUUCUAGGCAUCAUCCAAUAUUCUAAUCUUUUAUCGUGUGGCUAAUUAUCGAGUUAUCUUAUAUUGUAAAUAAAACUUGCUAGGGUUUGUCCAAUAUUCCAUUUGUUUUCAGCGUUACUGCUUAAUUAGAUCUGCUUAGGUUGUUCUCAUCGGCUUCUAGUCUUGUUUAAACGUUCACAAGUUAUUUGAUCGUAUCGGCAAGUUCGACCUUGCAUGCUUUUAUCGCUUUAUCUAUACUAGGUCCGAUAGAUCUUUACCCCUUCCCCUUGUAUUGCUAGCAGUUGGAUCCAUAACGUUAGAACGAUACUGUUGAGAGCUGAUGCAUUGAUUUAGUAUCAUCCAUAUCUCAUAGAAUGUAUCAUGGUUAAUGGCAAUUUAAUGAAAUUAUAAAGGAUAAUAACAAUCGUGCUUUCGGCGUUCCAAAAAUCAAUCAAGAAUUCAUCAUGGUUGUGCAGUGUAUGGAAACCUUAUGGUAAUAGUUAGAUGGGAAAUGUUGUAUUAUGUAAUAAAUCCAGGUACUUCACAAAUCAUGAUCGAUGGAUGUCUAACACUGUUGAAAGAGAUUGGAAUAAAGCAGACUCACCUCAGACUAUGCACCAUGUCUGAGUGACCCACCUCACCUUGCCAGGUCACUGGUCUUGCCAGCACACAAGCUAUGAUGUUGCCAGGAGUGGUCAGUACACAAAUCUAGCUACCAGUCGGAUCGAAGGGCAGGCAUUUGCAUUGUGGUUGUGCUUGAACAUGGAGAUGUCUUGCGAUUGUCACGCACCAUACAUCCUCUCUCAGUUUCACUCCGCCUCACACACGGAUAGGACACCAGGGACCCGACACCAUGCAUGCCGAUUUCAUAUUAUUAAUAUUUAUUUUUUGAAUGGUUGUUGAAACUAUAUAUAUAGUUAGUCCAAUCUCACGUUUCCGAUUAUAAAAAUUAACAUAAAGAGAUCGGAAGGGAGAGCACUAGAGCCGGCAUUUAUACAAACUGGUAUGAAUAGUAAAAUCUAGAAUUCAUAAAUAAAAAAAUGAUUUGCACAUCUAUGCAAUAAUUAGUGGUUAGUGGUAGGUCUAGAGAGAUAUCUCAUCAAAUCGAUGAGUUAUAUCCGGUUUAAACGAGGAUAAAAAUGAGUGUAGUCUUUUCGCAGCUGUACCGCCUUUCCUUUCGUGUGUUCUAUUGUUCCCCUAACACCAAGUCUCCAAGACUCAAGAAAAUAAGGAAAGUGAUAGCAGCCUAGAAAUCGACCAAGUUUCUUUCCCCCUUUGGCUUUUCUACUAGGAUUCGGAAUCCUCUUUCGCAUGACAAUCUUAAUUAUCUCCCAUAGUUCAAAACUCACAAAACUAUCAAAAAUCCACCGAGAAUAAAUUAUGUAAAAACAUGCACACACAGAUAAUAAUAAUAAUAAUCAUGUUUCAAUAAAAUUUCUAAGGCUAGAGACAAUACAUAAACAUAUUAGACUAUUCAUGACACAUAUCACAGUGGACAGUGUCAGUAUCCUUAUUACAAGCAGCGAGAGAUGCUUGUCACCACACACACGCGUGCACAGAUGCACGACAUACAUAUAGUUGAGACCAACAAAUGGUUGCCCCAUAUGGUGAACAAUUUAUUGGAGAUAAACAUUAACAUAACUUGGCCAUAGCUUGAAGCAUAGCAACAUAUGCCUAUGAAUGGCAUUCAUGCUGGUAGCAAUGCAAUCAUAUCGUUUUAGGCUUGUCCAGCUUCUUCCAUCUUAGCAAGCACUCCCAUUUCUUCCAUCUUAGCAACAACUGUCAAAUUGAGAUAUGAAAAUUCCAUUAGCACAUGAGUUAAUUUUGCAGUGGAAAUAGAGUACAAGAUGUCUUCAUGAUGUAAGUAACAUGCCUGAAGUUGUGAGAUGGGAAGUGAAGUCAACAAAUUACAUUAACGGAAAUGCAUGGAAGGCCACGCAUGCAUACGUAUUAGUCCACGAUAUGCUACAAAGCCUUCUAUGUACAUAUAACAAAUUAAAUGCAUUGAAUAGAGUGAGUUUAGUGAAUUUUACCGGAAUCGGUCAGAGUACAUGGGAAACAGCAAGUGUUCUUGCAGAUGAAGUCGGGGCUACCCGCAGCAAUACAAGCAAAACAACAUGCUUUUGCUCGGGUGGAUACGCAGCAGCCACACUGUGCCGCGGUGGCCGGGUUAACAUUGAGGCUCAAGAUGACCAGGCACAUGAUCACCAUCAAAGCGGUAGUCCUCUUUCCCUCCAUUGCCUUCUCUUGCUGCUACCUUCCUUGGUUACCUUGCUAAGUUUAUUGGUUUUGUGUUGAGAG